rnacentral:rRNA from 1 species
AGCUCCAAUAGCGUAUAUUAAAGUUGUUGCGGUUAAAAAGCUCGUAGUUGGAUUUCUGUUGAGGGCAGCGCGUCUACCUUUUGGGUAAGUAUGUUGCUUGACCUCGGCAUCUUCGUGAAAAACAUUUCUGCGCUUGAUUGCGUGGGGUGGGGUUCACGACUUUUACUUUGAGGAAAUUAGAGUGUUCACGGCAAGCAUACGCUUUGAAUAUAUUAGCAUGGGAUAAUGAUAUAGGAUUUUGGUUCUAUUUUGUUGGUUUCUAGGGCUAAAAUAAUGAUUAAUAGGGACAAUUGGGGGCAUUCGUAUUAUGUGGUCAGAGGUGAAAUUCUUGGAUUCACAUACGACGAACUACUGCGAAAGCAUUUGCCAAGGAUGUUUUCAUUGAUCAAGAACGAAAGUA